rnacentral:rRNA from 2 species
GACGUAGGGAGCGAGCGUUGUCCGGAAUCAUUGGGCGUAAAGAGCGCGUAGGCGGCUACGCAAGUCGGAUGUGAAAACUCGGGGCUCAACCCCGAGCGUGCAUCCGAUACUGCGUGGCUAGAGGUAGGUAGGGGAGAUCGGAAUUCCUGGUGUAGCGGUGAAAUGCGCAGAUAUCAGGAGGAACACCGGUGGCGAAGGCGGAUCUCUGGGCCUUACCUGACGCUCAGGCGCGAAAGCUAGGGGAGCAAACAGG